rnacentral:tRNA from 1 species
CAAGAAAUAGUUUAUCAAAAAUAAUGCGUUGAAGGUGCAUUGAAGAGCUUGACUCUUUCUUGG